rnacentral:rRNA from 1 species
UACGUAGGGACCGAGCGUUGUCCGGAAUCAUUGGGCGUAAAGAGCGUGUAGGCGGCUAUUUAAGUCAGGGGUGAAAUCCUGGAGCUCAACUCCAGAACUGCCUUUGAUACUGGGAGUCUUGAGUAUGGAAGAGGUAAGUGGAAUUGCGAGUGUAGAGGUGAAAUUCGUAGAUAUUCGCAGGAACACCAGUGGCGAAGGCGGCUUACUGGUCCAUUACUGACGCUGAGGUGCGAAAGCGUGGGGAGCAAACAGG